AGAAAGAUGCCUGAUUAAAGGAAUAUUCUGAUAGAAUAAAAAAAGUAUUAUUUAUAGAAAUACUCUUUCUA
rnacentral:tRNA from 1 species